rnacentral:rRNA from 1 species
UACGUAGGCAGCCAGCGUUGUUCGGAAUUACUGGGCGUAAAGAGUGUGUAGGCGGUGUUCUAAGUCUGGUGUGAAAUCUCCCGGCUCAACUGGGAGGGUGCGCUAGAAACUGGAAUGCUAGAGGAUGGGAGAGGUAAGCGGAAUUCCUGGUGUAGCGGUGAAAUGCGUAGAUAUCAGGAGGAACACCUGUGGUGUAGACAGCUUACUGGACCAUUUCUGACGCUGAGACACGAAAGCGUGGGUAGCAAACAGG